rnacentral:rRNA from 1 species
GACGAACGCUGGCGGCGUGCCUAAUACAUGCAAGUAGAACGCUGAAGGAGGAGCUUGCUUCUCCGGAUGAGUUGCGAACGGGUGAGUAACGCGUAGGUAACCUGCCUGGUAGCGGGGGAUAACUAUUGGAAACGAUAGCUAAUACCGCAUAACAGUAGAUAUUGCAUGAUAUCUGCUUGAAAGGUGCAAUUGCCUCACUACCAGAUGGACCUGCGUUGUAUUAGCUAGUUGGUGAGGUAACGGCUCACCAAGGCGACGAUACAUAGCCGACCUGAGAGGGUGAUCGGCCACACUGGGACUGAGACACGGCCCAGACGCCUACGGGAGGCAGCAGUAGGGAAUCUUCGGCAAUGGACGGAAGUCUGACCGAGCAACGCCGCGUGAGUGAAGAAGGUUUUCGGAUCGUAAAGCUCUGUUGUAAGAGAAGAACGAGUGUGAGAGUGGAAAGUUCACACUGUGACGGUAUCUUACCAGAAAGGGACGGCUAACUACGUG